rnacentral:snRNA from 1 species
AAUCGCUUUUAACUAUUUGUCGGGCCUUAGUCAAGACCCAGUGAACAGUUUUUGGGGCCUGGCCAGUUUUUCGGUCAGGUA